rnacentral:rRNA from 1 species
GAUGAACGCUGGCGGCGUGCCUAAUACAUGCAAGUCGAGCGAACAGACGAGGAGCUUGCUCCUCUGACGUUAGCGGCGGACGGGUGAGUAACACGUGGAUAACCUACCUAUAAGACUGGGAUAACUUCGGGAAACCGGAGCUAAUACCGGAUAAUAUAUUGAACCGCAUGGUUCAAUAGUGAAAGACGGUUUUGCUGUCACUUAUAGAUGGAUCCGCGCCGCAUUAGCUAGAUGGUAAGGUAACGGCUUACCAAGGCAACGAUGCGUAGCCGACCUGAGAGGGUGAUCGGCCACACUGGAACUGAGACACGGUCCAGACUCCUACGGGAGGCAGCAGUAGGGAAUCUUACGCAAUGGGCGAAAGCUUGACGGAGCAACGCCGCGUGAGUGAUGAAGGUCUUCGGAUCGUAAAACUCUGUUAUUAGGGAAGAACAAAUGUGUAAGUAACUAUGCACGUCUUGACGGUACCUAAUCAGAAAGCCACGGCUAACUACGUG